GUUCCCGAAGGGACGUGCAAUAAACUUGGAACGAUAUAAUGAAGAUUAGCAUGGUUUAUGUUCAAGGAUGACACGCAUAAAUUAAGAAAUGAUCCAAUCUAUU